AUUGAACGCUGGCGGCAGGCCUAACACAUGCAAGUCGAACGGUAACAGCAGGAGCUUGCUUCCAGGCGUCGAGCGGCGGACGGGUGAGUAAUGCGCAGGAAUUUGCCCAGCAGUGGGGGAUAGCCCGGAGAAAUUCGGAUUAAUACCGCAUAUACCCUACGGGGGAAAGAGGGCCUCUCCUUGGAAGCUCUUGCUGUUGGAUGAGCCUGCGUCGGAUUAGCUAGUUGGUAGGGUAAAGGCCUACCAAGGCGACGAUCCGUAGCUGGUCUGAGAGGAUGAUCAGCCACACUGGAACUGAGACACGGUCCAGACUCCUACGGGAGGCAGCAGUGGGGAAUAUUGGACAAUGGGCGCAAGCCUGAUCCAGCCAUGCCGCGUGUGUGAAGAAGGCUCUAGGGUUGUAAAGCACUUUAAGUUGGGAGGAAAGGUUGAAGUUUAAUACGCUUUAGCUGUGACGUUACCAACAGAAUAAGCACCGGCUAACUCCGUGCCAGCAGCCGCGGUAAUACGGAGGGUGCAAGCGUUAAUCGGAAUUACUGGGCGUAAAGCGCGCGUAGGUGGUUAGGUAAGUUGGAUGUGAAAGCCCCGGGCUUAACCUGGGAACUGCAUUCAAAACUGCCUAGCUAGAGUACGAUAGAGGGGGGUAGAAUUUCAGGUGUAGCGGUGAAAUGCGUAGAGAUCUGAAGGAAUACCAGUGGCGAAGGCGGCCCCCUGGAUUGAUACUGACACUGAGGUGCGAAAGCGUGGGUAGCAAACAGGAUUAGAUCCCCUGGUAGUCCAUGCCGUAAACGAUGUCAACUAACCAGUUGGGAGGAUCUGCCUCUUAGUAGCGUAGCUAACGCGAUAAGUUGACCGCCUGGGGAGUACGGCCGCAAGGCUAAAACUCAAAUGAAUUGACGGGGGCCCGCACAAGCGGUGGAGCAUGUGGUUUAAUUCGAUGCAACGCGAAAAACCUUACCUGCCCUUGACAUGUAGCGAACUUUCCAGAGAUGGAUUGGUGCCUUCGGGAACGCUAACACAGGUGCUGCAUGGCUGUCGUCAGCUCGUGUCGUGAGAGGUUGGGUUAAGUCCCGUAACGAGCGCAAUCCUUAUUGCUAGCAGGUAAUGCUGAGGACUCUAGCGAAACUGCCGGUGUAAACCGAGAGGAAGGUGGGGAUGACGUCAAAUCAGCACGGCCCUUAUGUCCAGGGCUACACACGUGUUACAAUGGUCGAUACAAUGGGCAGCUACCUGGUGACAGGAUGCUAAUCUCCAAAGUCGAUCUCAGUUCGGAUCGAAGUCUGCAACUCGACUUCGUGAAGUUGGAUUCGCUAGUAAUCGUAGAUCAGCAAUGCUACGGUGAAUACGUUCCCGGGCCUUGUACACACCGCCCGUCAAACCAUGGAAGUUGGGGGUGCUUGAAGUACGUUACCGUAAGGAGCGUCCUAGGGUAAAACCAGUGACUGGGGCU
rnacentral:rRNA from 1 species